rnacentral:lncRNA from 1 species
AUCUGAAGACAGCUACUAUCAACCGUUUCCCACCCAAACCCACAAAUCUAAAAACUCAGUUUAUAUUAAUUCGCAAGAAACUGUUAUUCGUCCAUUCCAAAAAUAAACACACACCUGGGCUCCUAAAAGUCUGAUAUUCUUUAUAAAAAAAAAUAGAACUUCAAUGGAUGUCUCUUGAGAAUUUCCCUUUAAAACAGAUGAAAGGCAAGGUUAGUACAAUGUUCUCUUAAUCCCUUUGCCUUCUGAGUCAAAAUAAAUAUUUUCUUCUGCAUGUGAUUGUACAUCCUGCCAUUUGGAUGUGGCUGUAAGCAAAGCGACUGAUAAUAAAAGCAUUUUGAGGCUGUG